CCUACGGGUGGCUGCAGUGAGGAAUAUUGGUCAAUGGACGAGAGUCUGAACCAGCCAAGUAGCGUGAAGGAUGACUGCCCUAUGGGUUGUAAACUUCUUUUAUAUGGGAAUAAAAUGUUCGACGGGGGGGAUUUUGUAUGUACCAUAUGAAUAAGGAUCGGAUAACUCCGUGCCAGCAGCCGCGGUAAGACGGAGGAUCCGAGCGUUAUCCGGAUUUAUUGGGUUUAAAGGGAGCGUAGGUGGAUUGUUAAGUCAGUUGUGAAAGUUUGCGGCUAAACCGUAAAAUUGCAGUUGAAACUGGCAGUCUUGAGUACAGUAGAGGUGGGCGGAAUUCGUGGUGUAGCGGUGAAAUGCUUAGAUAUCACGAAGAACUCCGAUUGCGAAGGCAGUUCACUGGACUGCAACUGACACUGAGGCUCGAAAGUGUGGGUAUCAAACAGGAUUAGAUACCCUUGUAGUC
rnacentral:rRNA from 1 species